rnacentral:rRNA from 1 species
AGAGUUUGAUCCUGGCUCAGGAUGAACGCUAGCUACAGGCUUAACACAUGCAAGUCGAGGGGCAGCAUGGUCUUAGCUUGCUAAGGCCGAUGGCGACCGGCGCACGGGUGAGUAACACGUAUCCAACCUGCCGUCUACUCUUGGACAGCCUUCUGAAAGGAAGAUUAAUACAAGAUGGCAUCAUGAGUCCACAUGUUCACAUGAUUAAAGGUAUUCCGGUAGACGAUGGGGAUGCGUUCCAUUAGAUAGUAGGCGGGGUAACGGCCCACCUAGUCUUCGAUGGAUAGGGGUUCUGAGAGGAAGGUCCCCCACAUUGGAACUGAGACACGGUCCAAACUCCUACGGGAGGCAGCAGUGAGGAAUAUUGGUCAAUGGGCGAGAGCCUGAACCAGCCAAGUAGCGUGAAGGAUGACUGCCCUAUGGGUUGUAAACUUCUUUUAUAAAGGAAUAAAGUCGGGUAUGCAUACCCGUUUGCAUGUACUUUAUGAAUAAGGAUCGGCUAACUCCGUGCCAGCAGCCGCGGUAAUACGGAGGAUCCGAGCGUUAUCCGGAUU